GCGGGUAUAGUGUAAUGGUAGCACGCAGGUUUUCAGUACCUGUUUCUGGGCUCCACCCAGGUAGAGCGGGUUCGAAUCCCGUUACCCGCUCCA
rnacentral:tRNA from 1 species